AUUGAACGCUGGCGGCAGGCCUAACACAUGCAAGUCGAGCGGAGCGGCGGACGGGUGAGUAAUGCCUAUGAAUCUGCCUCGUAGCGGGGGAUAAGGUCCGGUAACGGGCGCUAAUACCGAAUACUAUUAGAUUAGACUAGGUCGGAGUAGCUAGUUGGUGGGGUAAAGGCCUACCAGGGCGACGAUCCGUAACUGUUCUGAGAGGAUGAUCAGUCACACUGGAACUGAGACACGGUCCAGACUCCUACGGGAGGCAGCAGUGGGGAAUAUUGGACAAUGGGCGAAAUCCUGAUCCAGCCAUGCCGCGUGUGUGAAGAAGGUCUUCGGAUUGUAAAGCACUUUAAGUUGGGAGGCGUUACCAACAGAAUAAGCACCGGCUAACUUCGUGCCAGCAGCCGCGGUAAUUC
rnacentral:rRNA from 1 species